rnacentral:tRNA from 1 species
GGGAUUGUGGCUCAGUGGUAGAGCGCUUGCCUAGCAUGUGCAAGUUCCUGGGUUCGAUCCUCAGCACCA